UACUGUCACCGCCACAGCUUCUGCUUUUUCGCGCGCACCGCCAUAGCGACAGCCACUUUGGCUUGGCUUUGCGCGAGGAAGCAGCGCAGCGAUCCCGUCACCGUGACCUCAUCCUCCCCCGAUCACAACACAAACCCAACUACCCAAGAGCUUGGGGAUUGGGGGAGUCAGGGGGAAAACCCUACUCCGUCUCGCCGCGACCCCACACCCAAGGCCGGCGACUCCUUCGGCUCCAUAGCGGGUAAGAAAGGGUGCACCAAGAUCGCCGGCGGAGAUCGUCGCCUUGGUCUUGACGAGGCCAAUCCGAUCCAUGCCCUGACUCUCUCUCCUCUUUCGCAGGCUGCCGUGACCCCAGGCGACCGGAACGUGAGGAGCCGGACCAGGGACACCGAGAGAGAAGCCCGCCGUGGAGACGACUGCCAAGUUCUUCGCCUGCUCCAUAUGUCGACAUCCCCUCCCUCGGUUCUGGUGCCACUCCACCGCGAGUUUGGGGACCGGUUUCCCUUUUCUGAUGACUUCGCCGGGCGAGAUUACGACGUUUGGGUAGCGUACGACAUGUCGGAGAUGGUCACUGUGCAAUUUCUGGAUCUGAGAAUUCAUCGCAUGCCCGCCAACGACGUCCUACAACUUCUUCGCCAUCUAGCGCGCAUAUGCGCUACAAGAGGUGAAGAACUGGAUGAGCUUGGUAUAGUGGAGGAGUACGACGACGACGACGACGACGACGGCGACGAGCACUAUGUGUAUGGAGGCUUGGAUAUGUUCGAGCCAGCCACCACUGAUGAAGAGGACGCCAACGCGCAGGUGGAUGCUGACGAUCUUUACUACCUGGGGGUCAGUGACGACGAGAAUGAGGAAGUGGGAAGCGACGGCGGGACUGAUGACGACGGCGGUGAUGAUGCUGGAGGCGACGGCGGACGGGCUGGACCCCUCAGGUGGAACAACCUAUGGGACGACGACCCACCACAGUGA
rnacentral:lncRNA from 1 species